rnacentral:rRNA from 1 species
CCUACGGGCGGCAGCAGUGGGGAAUAUUGGUCAAUGGGCUUACGCCUGAACCAGCCAAGUCGCGUGAGGGAAGACUGCCCUCUGGGUUGUAAACCUCUUUUGUCGGGGAGCAACGCCUGCUACGUGUAUCCUGACUGAGAGUCCCUGCAGACAAAGCCUCGGCUAACUCCGUGCCAGCAGCCGCGGUAAUACGGAGGAUGCGAGCGUUAUCCGGAGUUAUUGGGUGUAAAGGGUGCGUAGGCGGAAUGCCAAGUCAGCGGUAAAAUCGCGGGGCUCAACCUCGCUCCGCCGUUGAAACUGGGGUUCUUGAGUGGGCGAGAAGUAUGCGGAAUGCGUGGUGUAGCGGUGAAAUGCAUAGAUAUCACGCAGAACUCCGAUUGCGAAGGCAGCAUACCGGCGCCAAACUGACGCUGAAGCACGAAAACGUGGGUAUCGAACAGGAUUAGAUACCCCUGGUAGUC